CCCCCUAACACACAUCAUUUAUUGUCUUAAAUGAAAAACAAAGAGUCCUUUUUACAUUUUUUAGAGAAGACAAGUAUAGUUUUACUUUAUUUAGAUAUUCAGUAUCUAAGACGUCUGAAAAAGAAAAAGGGCUCUCUAACCACACAACUGUCAAACUCUUAUCAAAGAGCUAUUUACAGUUGCGUCUGCACAUUUGAAAAAAAAAAAAAACACACAGCAGUACAUAAAAACAAAUAGAAGUGUUUAAUUUAGCCUGCUGAUGAAUGCAGUAUACCCUAGAGUGCAGACACGCAACUGACAAACUGACAAAUAACACCCUGAAUAACUCUCGACAUGUUUGAGACAAAAUAAACUUUGUGGAAGACAGUUCUGCACAAUCAUUAUGGAUUUAUUAAAAAAAAAAUGUUUACUUUCAGCAUGCCACCUUUAUCAUAUAAACGUCCUCGACGAGGGUGAGGACUAAAGGCCAGACAGCCACGUCCUUGUAAUUUAUCUCCUGUUGGUAUGAGGGAUCGCAAGGAGUAACAGCUGAGGGAAAUGGACUUGUACAUCUACACAAAAAGUACAAGAUUAGACUUCAUAGCAGGCGCCUUUCAAGACACUCAAGGACACCUUACAAGCAAUUAAGUAUCAAAAUCACAAUAUGGAUAUAAUAACAGUUGGAAAACACCAUCGAAUUAAAAGUCAAUACAUCAAUAAAUACUACAUGUGUUGUGUGUAUUCACAUCUUAUAUUUGUUCUGCCUCCAGCUUGUUCUGCUUCAUUAUAAAAUUAUUUAGGGAUUUGAAAAGAGUUCUUUUAUUUGUUUUGGUUUUUUAAAACUCUUUUACUGUUUCACUCUUUCACAACUGGAGACUGGAAACCUAACAGGUUACAGUGGUGGUGUCCUAGCCUUGAUUGUGUGUGACUCUGUUUCAGUUCAGUAACCA